UACUCUGUUUCCCCUUCCAGUUCAAUAGUCAUAAAGAACAUCAGUAAUGUGGGGUGUGGAGAGAAAAAUCUAUAAGGAUAUAAACCACAAUGUUAACUCUGGCUCCUUCAGGGGGGAGCUUCUGUCAAGGAGGAAGACAACACGUUAGUCUCACCAGCAC
rnacentral:lncRNA from 1 species